UGGCGGACGGGUGAGUAACGCGUGGAAAACCUGCCGUAUACUGGGGGAUAACACUUAGAAAUAGGUGCUAGUACCGCAUAAGCGCACAGCUUCGCAUGAAGCGGUGUGAAAAACUCUGGUGGUAUACGAUGGUUCCGCGUCUGAUUAGCUAGUUGGUGGGGUAAUGGCCUACCAAGGCAACGAUCAGUAGCCGGCCUGAGAGGGUGAACGGCCACAUUGGGACUGAGACACGGCCCAAACUCCUACGGGAGGCAGCAG
rnacentral:rRNA from 1 species